CUUGACAUACACCGGAAAGCAUCAGAGAUGGUGCCCCCCCUUGUGGUCGGUGUACAGGUGGUGCAUGGCUGUCGUCAGCUCGUGUCGUGAGAUGUUGGGUUAAGUCCCGCAACGAGCGCAACCCUUGUCCCGUGUUGCCAGCAACUCUUCGGAGGUUGGGGACUCACGGGAGACCGCCGGGGUCAACUCGGAGGAAGGUGGGGACGACGUCAAGUCAUCAUGCCCCUUAUGUCUUGGGCUGCACACGUGCUACAAUGGCCGGUACAAUGAGCUGCGAUACCGCAAGGUGGAGCGAAUCUCAAAAAGCCGGUCUCAGUUCGGAUUGGGGUCUGCAACUCGACCCCAUGAAGUCGGAGUCGCUAGUAAUCGCAGAUCAGCAUUGCUGCGGUGAAUACGUUCCCGGGCCUUGUACACACCGCCCGUCACGUCACGAAAGUCGGUAACACCCGAAGCCGGUGGCCCAACCCCUUGUGGGAGGGAGCUGUCGAAGGUGGGACUGGCGAUUGGGACGAAGUCGUAACAAGGUAGGCGUAGAUGA
rnacentral:rRNA from 1 species